rnacentral:misc_RNA from 1 species
AAGUCGUAACAAGGUUUCCGUAGGUGAACCUGCGGAAGGAUCAUUGUUGAAUAGUCGUGGUGCUGUGCUGGCCUUUCGGGGCAUGUGCACGCAUUGCAAUUAUCCAUUAUCUUUUUUGUGAACCAGUGUAGUCUCGAGUUGUUUCGUUGGUAGUAAUGGGCUUUCCCGCCUGUGAGGCCGUUGAGCGUUAGUAGCUGACCAGCGAAAGCGUAGACUCGAGUCUAUGAUUUUAUAUAAACUGUGUAUGUCUUUGAAUGUCUCUUUAUUGGCCGCAAGGCUAGUAAAAUCUAUACAACUUUCAGCAACGGAUCUCUUGGCUCUC